AUAUGUAAUUUCUAAUUCUUUGCAAGAAGCAUGCAUUACCUGUUUAAUAUUUUAAGGGAACAAAGAUGUCCAUAAUAUAUCAGUAAGGGAAAAUGCAGAUUACAAAACAGUAUUAUUGUAUGACACCAUCUUUGUAUAAAAAUAUAUAAAAUAUUUAUCAUUGUAUAUAUAUAGAUAGAUACCAAUAUAUAGAUAUAAGUAUGCCAAAGACAGCUAAAAGGGCAAAUAAUAGCAGCCAUCUACUAACAUGUGGCUGCUUGGGUAGAUGUGAGCAGAACAAUUUCCAAAGCUCUCCAGUGAUAUAAACAAUUUUCUUACUUUUCCUUUGUUUUUUACUUUUCCUUUGUUUUCCAGAUUUUCUACAGUGAACAUGUAUUAUUUCUGUAUUUUUUAAAAAAACUGAUUAAAAGUGUUUAAAAACCCAAAGUUGUGUCUCUUAGGAAAAAAGGGGGCAGGGUCCUCCACUUCAUUGACCCUCCCUCCCACUGGUACACACCGCCCUUUUCACCAUCUCCCCUCUCCUGGUUCUUACAUUUCAAGAAGAGCGAUCGCUGUGGUGAGGGGCUUGUUUUCAACAAGGAACCUGGCUUGGCACUGGAAGAGCCGGAGAGCUGGCAGUUCAUGUCUGCCAGGGUGAGUGAACCUGGACUUGGGAGGAGAUGGCAGCCUCCAAGAGCAUCCUGAGGAUCAACUGUGUAUUCAACAGUUCAGGAAGGGGGCAGUCUCAUGGCAGAUACACAAAUUCCAGGAAAAAGAUGGAAAACAAGAAAUUAAAGCUGAGUCCUCAGAAAGGUCAUGUUCACGUCUCCUUCAGGUAAGAGAGAGUUCAGGGGAGACCUAAGUCAUGGUCCCUGUCUUCAACAGCUCCGUCAGGUAAAUGGGGUGAGAAAUGGGCUUGCUGGAACUACACUACUCAAAACAGAGAAUGCUCCAGAUUGCAGACGAGAAGUGAAAGGGCUCCAGGGCUUUGAUGGGUCAGGAAAGGUUUCAUGGAGGAGGAAGCCCCUCAGUUGGCCCUUAAAGGAUGGGGAGAUUUGGACACCUGGAAAAAGGAUGGGAGGCUUUCCCCGUGAGAGGAUAACGCAGGAGCAAAGACAUUAAGGACAGGUGCUGGGAGUGGCAUGUAAAGAGUGGGGAGCCAUGGAAGGUGUUUGAGGGAGAACAGAUGUGAGCAGAAGAAUUUCCAAAGUGCUCUCUGGUGGGGAAUGGAUGGGGCAGGGUGAGAUGGGAGACAGUGGCCCUGUCGGGAGGCUCAGACCUGAACUGGGAUGGCAGGGAUAGAAAAGGGGCUAGGUUCAGGAUAGGUUGCAGUGGCACAAGGACCAGGGCUUAACUAUGCUAGGAGUGGGGAAUGAAGUGCAGAUCAGAGUCAAGCAGCCACAGAUUGGGGGUUGGGGGCUGGAAGAUGCUGGAUGCCAUUUCAGUCUGUUGAGCCUGCCAUAUCUGUGGACCUACAGGUAGGGAGGUGGCCAGGGCACUGAAAGGACAGUGGUGCUGUAAGACCCCCAUCCCCUUGAGUCCUUCGUGGGAGUCAGCGCUUCUCAGUAUCACCUGUGAUAGAAUAAUAGCCUUAUCUGGAGGUGGAUGAGGGGUGAUGGCCUGGGAGGAAGCAGACUCCAGGGGAUCAGAACACAAGACUCUGGGACCAGUCUGUUUGAAUUCUGCCUCUACCCCUACCAACUAUGUGAUCCAGGGCAAGUCAGUUAACCUCCAUGAGCCUCAGCUUCCUCAUCUGUAAAAUGGGGGACAAUGAAGGCAUCUACCCCAUGGGGUAAUGCUGAGGAGUUGCUGGAUGAGUCAGUGGGAAGUGCUUGGAACAAUGCCUGGCACAGAGCAAGUGUUAGCUAUUCUAAUGGACUCAGCAGCCACCACCAGUUCUUUGGGAGUGGACCACUGAGAAUGUAAAUGUAAGCGAACUGCAUUUGGGGAACCAUAUGAGCAUCUUCUUGCCAGAGGUGGUGGUGCUCCCUGCAGCCGACCGCUAAGAUUCUUCCCCCCCCCUCCACAUUUGACUAUUCUUUGUUUUAAAUUGAAAUAUAUUGACCGCUGUGAUUGUGAUGUGGGCUUUUCUUUGUAAAUAUUAUACCUCAAGAAGAAUUUUCAGUUAGACUGUGUAUCCAAAAUUCCCGUGGAAGUUAUGAACAAGAGGAACACCAUGCACAGAUGAAAAAUCUGCUCUGACAAACCAGCCAAAGAAAAUCCGCUGCUCCGCCCUGCUGCGUGGGUCACGGUGUCCUGAACACACUUCAGUGUCCUCUUGUCUCAGCUUAGGAUGCCUUUCCCUGUUCUCUCCCACGCUUGAAACCCAGCAGCAUUGGCAAUAAGGCCCAGCUCAAUGCCAGUUCCUUCCAGAAGUCUUCCUGGUUUCUCAACAGAAUCACUCUCUCCUUCCUCUGUUCUCCCUUAGUCCCUGGCUGUGUCUCGUUAAUUCCUCAGGCAGAUGGGGGAGAUGAAGAUGAGGGGUCUUGCAGCACCACUGCCCUCCCAGUGUUCCCCUCCCCCCAUGAGUCCACAGACACUGCAGGCUCACUGAAGUCUCCUGCUCUGCAGCCAGGUGCUGACCUGGCCUCUCUCCACGCCCCAGAGGGGCUCAGGGGGUGCUGUGGUGCUUCUGCCUCGCUUCUCAUCCCUGUCCUUCUUUUCCUAUGAUCUCCAGACUUUAACAAGGUGAUUUGCAACUUCCUCCACCUCAUCUCUUGUCACUCUCCCUUCACUGUGCUCAAGGCACCCUGGCCUCCUCUCUGUGCCAAAAAUCUGUCAAGGUCUUCCUCUGCUUUGGCACGUGCUCUCCAGGAGGUCUCCUUCCCCCUGGAACCUCCUCACCCUGGGCCUCUGCCCAUGUGGCUGGGAUGCCCCCCUCCCCAGGGGUGCCUUCCCUGAGCACCUCAUCGGAGCAGCCCCUCUGGCCCCCAUCGCUCUCUCUCAGCACUCACCACAGUGCCUCUUCCCUCCGUUUUCAAAAAAGAUUUCUUUUUAUUUGUCACCAUUCACAGUCUGAAUUGUAAACAGAUUCUUGGGCUGGUGGCUCAUAUCAUUGGCUUUUUCAACUUUAACAGCUCAGUAACUUUUCCCACAACUACUGCCUUCUCCACAAAACUCCAUGAGUUUUUCCAAUUCAAAGCUGGGUUUCUUCAGUCAGCACUUUUACUUUUCUAACAAAGACAUCAUGGGGCAGAUAAACAGACUGGCAAGACUUUUUAUGUCUUCUCUAAUGCUGUCUGGAAUAAUUUAUUGA
ensembl:lncRNA